rnacentral:lncRNA from 1 species
AGUCUACAGAUAAAACAUAGAACAUGGAUGAAAUUUAUAAGAUCGCUUCUUCAAAGAGGAUACAGCAGUUGGAAAAAGAGCUGGAGGUUCAGUUGGCUGAACUUAAGACAGAAAUACAAGAACACGGAGCUCUUAAAAGAUCACUUCAUUGGCCUUACAGCUCCAUCCGGUUACCAAAGGAUGUUUCUUACUUUAGAAAAGAGAGGGAACUGGCAUUACGGAAAAGCUUGCAGGUGGCUGAAUCAAAGCCCCUUGUUAUUCAAGCAGAUGUCCUGCAGAGGGAGCUCGAAAGCUGUUUAAGGAAAGAGUACACAGUUGAAAACUUACCUUUGCUUCUGCACCAGUUUUAUACAGAGAGAAUUACCCAGUUGGUCCAGAGCAAAUACUUACACAUGCUUAGGUGGAAGAGAUUCUGCCAGCAUAGCAGCAUUAUGGAACAAAUUUAUCCUCUUUACCAGGUGCUACAAUACUUGCCCAUAUCUGACAGAUUGGAAAUUGCUAUACAGGACGUGGAUCAAGAAAAUGGAGAUAUGUGUACUGGACAUAUAGACCCUGAGUCUUCAUCUACUAACAACCAGAAUUCUGGUUGUCAAGCUUCUUCAGUAACAAGCACUUCAGGGUUAUUCAGAAAAGAAGUUACUUCUAUUCUGCCCCACAAUAAAACAGAAGCAGUAGAACUGAAGCCUCAGCUAGAACUUCUUUUGUCUCAUUUCAACAUCUGCUACAACACAGAGGAUCUAAAGAAUUCUGCUGAUGAGAUGGAGCUCUUUUCCCUGGUUGUUCAGAAGUUUCAGAACAUCUUCCAUGAACAACAGAGAUUGAAAAUAUUUCCAGCCUAUGAUGUCAAGGUGGCUAAAGUUGAUAUCCAGGAUUUAUUAAAACCUAGCAUGACUUUCAAAAAGACAGCCAACUGGAUUCCUUUCAUAAAGAUUAAGCCAAAAUGUGAUCCUUGGCAGCAGAAACUUUUGACCAAACUAAGAGAACGAGACAGAAUCGAUGCAUUGAUGCAAUUGCAUACAAAGUUUUUGAAAGUGAGGUUUGUUCAUUUUUAA